AUGAACGCUAGCGGCAGGCCUAACACAUGCAAGUCGAGGGGCAUCACGAGGUAGCAAUACUUUGGUGGCGACCGGCGCACGGGUGCGUAACGCGUAUGUAACCUACCUAUAACAGGGGCAUAACACUGAGAAAUUGGUACUAAUUCCCCAUAAUAUUCGGAGAGGCAUCUCUCCGGGUUGAAAACUCCGGUGGUUAUAGAUGGACAUGCGUUGUAUUAGCUAGUUGGUGAGGUAACGGCUCACCAAGGCAACGAUACAUAGGGGGACUGAGAGGUUAACCCCCCACACUGGUACUGAGACACGGACCAGACUCCUACGGGAGGCAGCAGUGAGGAAUAUUGGUCAAUGGACGCAAGUCUGAACCAGCCAUGCCGCGUGCAGGAAGACGGCUCUAUGAGUUGUAAACUGCUUUUGUACGAGGGUAAACUCACCUACGUGUAGGUGACUGAAAGUAUCGUACGAAUAAGGAUCGGCUAACUCCGUGCCAGCAGCCGCGGUAAUACGGAGGAUUCAAGCGUUAUCCGGAUUUAUUGGGUUUAAAGGGUGCGUAGGCGGUUUGAUAAGUUAGAGGUGAAAUCCCGGGGCUUAACUCCGGAACUGCCUCUAAUACUGUUAGACUAGAGAGUAGUUGCGGUAGGCGGAAUGUAUGGUGUAGCGGUGAAAUGCUUAGAGAUCAUACAGAACACCGAUUGCGAAGGCAGCUUACCAAACUAUAUCUGACGUUGAGGCACGAAAGCGUGGGGAGCAAACAGGAUUAGAUACCCUGGUAGUCCACACCGUAAACGAUGGAUACUAGGUGUAGGAAGCGAUUAUGUUUUCUGUGCCGUCGCAAACGCAGUAAGUAUCCCACCUGAGGAGUACGGCCGCAAGGUUGAAACUCAAAGGAAUUGACGGGGGCCCGCACAAGCAGUGGAGUAUGUGGUUUAAUUCGAAGCAACGCGAAGAACCUUACCAGGUCUUGACAUCCGAUGCAUAGUGCAGAGAUGCAUGAAGUCCUUCGGGACAUCGAGACAGGUGGUGCAUGGUUGUCGUCAGCUCGUGUCGUGAGAUGUUGGGUUAAGUCCCGCAACGAGCGCAACCCUUAUUGCCAGUUACUACGCAAGAGGACUCUGGCGAGACUGCCGUUGACAAAACGGAGGAAGGUGGGGAUGACGUCAAAUCAGCACGGCCCUUACGUCCGGGGCUACACACGUGUUACAAUGGUAGGUACAGAGGGUCGCUACUCCGUGAGGAGAUGCCAAUCUCGAAAGCCUAUCUCAGUUCGGAUUGGAGGCUGAAACCCGCCUCCAUGAAGUUGGAUUCGCUAGUAAUCGCGCAUCAGCCAUGGCGCGGUGAAUACGUUCCCGGGCCUUGUACACACCGCCCGUCAAGCCAUGGAAGCUGGGGGUGCCUGAAGUUCGUGACCGCAAGGAGCGACCUAGGGCAAAACCGGUAACUGGGGCU
rnacentral:rRNA from 1 species